CCCUUGUACACACCGCCCGUNACACCAUGGGAGUUGGUUUUUACCUGAAAGGGCGGGUGCGCUUAAACCCCCGCAAAGGGGGAGGCAGCCGACCACGGUAGGGUCAGCGACUGGGGUG
rnacentral:rRNA from 1 species